rnacentral:ncRNA from 1 species
UUAUUAAACUGAAUAAAAACUCAUAUAAUCUUGGGGAUAUGGCCCAAAAGUUUCUACCCUACGACCGUAAAUUGUAGGACUAUGAGUGAAAAAUGUUCGGAU